AACGAGGUGGUGUAGUUGGCGAACACGGUCAGCUGCGGGUUGAACAGGUAGGACACGUUGAUCGACGGCAGCGCCUUGUUG
rnacentral:tRNA from 1 species